UACGAAGGGGGCUAGCGUUGCUCGGAAUCACUGGGCGUAAAGCGCACGUAGGCGGACUCUUAAGUCGGGGGUGAAAUCCUGGAGCUCAACUCCAGAACUGCCUUCGAUACUGGGAGUCUUGAGUUCGGGAGAGGUGAGUGGAACUGCGAGUGUAGAGGUGAAAUUCGUAGAUAUUCGCAAGAACACCAGUGGCGAAGGCGGCUCACUGGCCCGAUACUGACGCUGAGGCACGAAAGCGUGGGGAGCGAACAGG
rnacentral:rRNA from 1 species